AUUGAACGCUGGCGGCAUGCUUUACACAUGCAAGUCGAACGGCAGCGCGGGCUUCGGCCUGGCGUCGCGUGGCGAACGGGUGAGUAAUGCAUCGGAACGUGCCCAGUAGUGGGGGAUAGCCCGGCGAAAGCCGGAUUAAUACCGCACACGACCUGAGGGUGAAAGCGGGGGACCGAAAGACCUCGCGCUAUUUGAGCGGCCGAUGCCGGAUUAGCUAGUUGGUUGGGUAAAUGCUUACCAAAGCGACGAUCCGUAGCUGAUCUGAGAGGGCGACCAGCCACACUGGGACUGAGACACGGCCAAGAAUCCUACGGGAGGCAGCAGUAGGGAAAGUUGGACAAUGGAGGCAAGCCUGAUCAAGAAACGGCGCGUGAGUGAGGAAGGCAUUCGGGUUGUAAAGCGCUUUUGUUCGGGAAGAAAGACUCUGGGAUAAAAUCGCGGGGUGAUGACGGUACCGAACGAAAAAGCUACGGCUAACUACGUG
rnacentral:rRNA from 1 species